rnacentral:rRNA from 1 species
AUUGAACGCUGGCGGCAUGCCUUACACAUGCAAGUCGAACGGCAGCACGGGGGCAACCCUGGUGGCGAGUGGCGAACGGGUGAGUAAUACAUCGGAACGUGUCCUGUAGUGGGGGAUAGCCCGGCGAAAGCCGGAUUAAUACCGCAUACGCUCUACGGAGGAAAGGGGGAUCUUAGGACCUCCCGCUACAGGGGCGGCCGAUGGCAGAUUAGCUAGUUGGUGGGGUAAAGGCCUACCAAGGCGACGAUCUGUAGCUGGUCUGAGAGGACGACCAGCCACACUGGGACUGAGACACGGCCCAGACUCCUACGGGAGGCAGCAGUGGGGAAUUUUGGACAAUGGGCGAAAGCCUGAUCCAGCAAUGCCGCGUGUGUGAAGAAGG